CCUUCACGUAUUCCAAGAAACUCACAUGCAGAUAGAAAUCACGCCAUGCAAGUUGCUGGUCAUCAGGCAACUUGCAAGCCGUUGGUCACCGGGCAACUUGCAAAGUCACUUAGCCCCCGCGUUCUGUUCCCUUCGUUUUCUUUCCAAAUCAAGUAUCUCCUUUGAAAUUUUUGGUCAAAAUAGAGCCCUUUUGGCUCUGGACUCAAACAUAAUAUAUGCCUACUGUGCAUGAACAAGAUCUUCAUGAACCUGAGAAACUACGACAAUAUAAGAAAAUAUCAAGUUAGUUGUCGUAAAUUUUUCUAUGCCUCUCUCUGCACUAAGGGCACUGCGUGUUAGUAAAUAACAAAUAAAGCCAAUGACUUCAAAAUGUCCAACUUUGCACAAUGUUUGUCCCAUGCGUUUGUCCUUUCAUCCCGAGCUUUGUGGUGUUGUUUCCACUUGAUUCCCAGCUUGAUUAAUUUCCAUUUAUCAUCUUGAUCAACUCACCAAGCAUCCUAUAAUAUUAAACUCUACAAAUUAGAUCUCAAAACAACAUACAAUCCAACAUGAUGACCUAGUA
rnacentral:lncRNA from 1 species